UGGGGAAUUUUGGACAAUGGGCGCAAGCCUGAUCCAGCCAUGCCGCGUGCGGGAAGAAGGCCUUCGGGUUGUAAACCGCUUUUGUCAGGGAAGAAAUCCUUUGAGCUAAUACCUCGGGGGGAUGACGGUACCUGAAGAAUAAGCACCGGCUAACUACGUGCCAGCAGCCGCGGUAAUACGUAGGGUGCGAGCGUUAAUCGGAAUUACUGGGCGUAAAGCGUGCGCAGGCGGUUAUGUAAGACAGAGGUGAAAUCCCCGGGCUCAACCUGGGAACUGCCUUUGUGACUGGAUGGCUAGAGUGCGGCAGAGGGGGAUGGAAUUCCGCGUGUAGCAGUGAAAUGCGUAGAUAUGCGGAGGAACACCGAUGGCGAAGGCAAUCCCCUGGACCUGUACUGACGCUCAUGUACGAAAGCGUGGGGAGCAAACA
rnacentral:rRNA from 1 species